GGCAGGCGGAAUCUCAACCACUUUGCCACCAGGGAAGCCCCUAUCCCUGGGAUUUUGUUUCAGAACGUCUGGCAGGAGAAGGUGGUGCUCAUCCCCUCUACCCCAAUACUUGCAAGAGUAUGUCUGGAGGAGAGAAUGAGGACCAGGCAGAGAAAAGGCUGAGAUGAGAGAUGGAGAAAAAGAGAGCUUGAGAGCUAAUGACAUCAUCUGCCCUUGUUCUUUUCUGGUAUUUCAGGCAAGUUUUUCUUCUUUUGUUUUUUGCUUAAUGCUUUUGAGUUGGCUUUCUCUUGUAAACCAAAGAAUCUCCACUAGAAGAGGCUUUAGGAGGCAAUGUUGCUCCUCCCUGGCCACAGGUGUAGGGGAUCCAGAUUUUAGAAAGCAGCUUUAACUCUCUCUCUAGUCUUCCCAAGCAUCCCUCCAUACUUUCCACAGAUAAGGAAACAGAUCCAGAGAAGGGUCAAAAAGCAAUACAUCAAGUCUUCUGCCUCAGAGCUCGGAAAAGAACAGAACAGCCUACUCUUAUUUAAUGAGAUCAAAUCUAAGCUCCGGCUAUUGAGUUGGGGGUGCGAUUAUGUCUUUAACGUGCCAUUUGGCAUUCAGGGGAAUGCUGAGAGACACCAAGGGGAGGUUCACCAGGAAAUUUCAACCUGGUUGGGGCCAGCAUGGCUGCUUGGAUCCUGUUGGUCUGGCUUAAAAAGUGGCAUAUUCAGAUGGAACUGGAAACACGGGGUACCCAAACUAAAGGGCAGGGAAUUUCAAGCCCACUAAGGCUCACCCUCCUUCAUCCUAGUUUUUCCAGUUCAGGUAACUUAACAGGUCUGUAGGUUCUGCCAUUUCCUUUGCAAAAGACCUUCAGGAGAGAGUCGGCAUCCCUCUUGGGCCCAGAGAAUUUUUAGAGGUUGCUUGUGGCCAAGAUACUAUAAUUAGAUGAAUGGGAUCCUUUGCCCUUGCCCUAUAGGUUGGAAGGAGUUGUAGGGCUGGUGCUUGCUGACUUGGGUGGAGGCUGCCCUGGGGGCUGUGGGCCACCUGCUUGCCUGUAAGUGCAAACUUCCAUCCCGACCUGUUGGGAGAUCUGAUCCGUUGGAAUAUCCACUCUCCACUCUGCCCCCUACCUUCCCACUCCCCGCCUCCCCACCCAUUGCACAAACUUAAAAGUCACCGUCUGUUUUUUCUGGCACUAAAAUAGUCUUCAUUGCUAUUGGUAUCGAAGGGAAUUCAAACAAAAGCUAUUGGCAAUACAGUACAAGAGAAAUUCAGCUUCUGGUGUUAUCUCCCCUUCUCCAACUGCGAGAACACGCUCACAGGCUGUCGUUCCUCCUCCCUCUUUCAAGCUGAUGUCUCCAAAUGCUUGGGUUACUUUAGGAAAUUUUUGUAAGUGGUUUUUGAAUUUGUUUUCACUUGAACUUUUGUUACAAAUGCCCAACUUUAAACACACCAGAGACAGGGAUUUAUCCUCUACUGUUGCUGCUUUGGAGGAAUUUGUUGAGGUUUCUUCAUGUAUGAUUCAGUUUUGUAAAUAUCCCAUCGAUACUGAAAAACAGAAGUACUCUGCAUUUUGCACAAGUGACCUUGUGUGUGUUGGUGAGGGUGGGGUGGGGGGGGAGUGUGAGCGCUUACUCAGCCUUGGUAUUUAUCCUUGAUUGUUUUUUGACUGCUUGAUCUGCCACUUAGAGUUGUAUUAAGCUCUCCCCAGUGCUGCUGUGUUUCUGUUGAAUUCUCUCAUGAAAUGUGGGUGCUGUUUUGGGGAUGUAUAGUUCUAAAUGUGCAAGUGAAUUUGGAUGUGUGUGUGUCUGUGUGCGUGUGUGUGUGUAAAAUUAAACUUGUGCAGAUCUCCUACAAAGAGGCCACGUGGUUAUGUGCCUCUACUUUUGUGCCUAUACUGUGUGCCUAUACUUUUUAAGAACGUGUGGUUAAAGGGAAAUUUGAUCCAAGGGGAAGGGGUAGGGGCAACCUAUUGAAAACCCUCAAUUUGUCUUGCCCACACGGAAUCUUCCUGGCUGACCAGGGGGAAAAGCUGGGCUCUCUCUGAGACAAUGUAACUGGGUAGGGCAGACCAACCCAGAGGAAGGGUAAGCGACCUUAGUGAGGCACUGAGUCUAGUCAGGGCAGGCGGCAACUGAGGGAAGAGUGAUACAUGACCACGUGCAGACAGUCCACUCUGGAGAUUCUAACAAGGAGCAAGACGCUUCCGCAGACGAAGAGAGAGCAGCAAUGGGUACUUGAAAAGCGGAGGCAACCACAUUAGGAGGUCCGUCUGCAUGGAGCAAACACUCAUCCACUGAGCUCGGUUUUGGCCAGAGAUUCCAGUCUUGAAAAGGGGGUGAUAAAAAGGAGUCUGGGCCAGAUGGAGGAUGUAGGCAACACAGGUGACCAGUGCAGCAGCCUAGACUUGAGAACAAGGCAGAACCUAGUUAUCAGCCCACUGGAGGCCGAGUCCCGGAGAGGGAGGCCGGGACUGCUUCACGUCCAGCUGUCUGAGGGCAGGACUGGUGCAAACAGAGCCACAGUCUGCAGCUUGGGACUGUUUCUCGGGGCCAGAGAGAAGACGGCUCCAGCCUGCUAGCCCCCAGCCCUAACUCACAGGGGCCAGGAGAUUGGCAUUACUUUUUGGCUCUCUUAUGGGGUAAGGAGGGUGGUCAGGCCCAGAAGAUGUGUCUCUGGGGAAAGAGGAAAGCAGGAAGGAGAGCUUAAUGUACCUGUAUCUGUCUUUGCAGAUCAAGCAGUCAAAAUGAGCAAAGGUAAACUACCAGGAUUAGAUAUACACACACACACACACUCACAAAUUCACGUGAGCAGAAAGAGUCCACUUCUGUUUUCCAGUAUCUGUGGGACGUUUACUGAAUUAAUAUAAAUAAAUAAAUAAGUUCUUCAAAGCAGAGAAACUUUCCACAGAGCAAUCCUUUGUCGGUAGUGUGUUUAAAAUUAGACUUUCAUAACAAAAGUCCAAGUG
ensembl:lncRNA